rnacentral:rRNA from 1 species
UUAAGCUAUUAGUGAAAACUUGACUUAAUUAAGGCUAUUAAGGGUCGGUAAAAUUCGUGCCAGCAACCGCGGUUAUACGAAAGACCCAAGCAGACAAUACCCGGCGUAAAGAGUGGUUUAUUUAAAUUUUACUAGAGCCAAAUACCCUCAAGACUGUUAUACGUGUUCGAGAAUAUAGAAGCCCACCCACGAAAGUAGCUUUAUAAAAUAAAUACCACUAAAGCUAAGACACAAACUGGGAUUAGAUACCCCACUAUGCUUAGCCCUAAACCUAGACAACUUUUAUCUUCACCCGACUUCCGUUGUCCGCCAGGGAACUACGAGCAUAAGCUUGAAACCCAAAGGACUUGGCGGUGCUUUAGACCCACCUAGAGGAGCCUGUUCUAUAACCGAUAACCCCCGUUAAACCUCACCCUCACUUGUUUAUCA